rnacentral:rRNA from 3 species
GGGUUGUGAGGUUAAGCGACUAAGCGUACACGGUGGAUGCCCUGGCAGUCAGAGGCGAUGAAGGACGUGCUAAUCUGCGAUAAGCGUCGGUAAGGUGAUAUGAACCGUUAUAACCGGCGAUUUCCGAAUGGGGAAACCCAGUGUGAUUCGUCACACUAUCAUUAACUGAAUCCAUAGGUUAAUGAGGCGAACCGGGGGAACUGAAACAUCUAAGUACCCCGAGGAAAAGAAAUCAACCGAGAUUCCCCCAGUAGCGGCGAGCGAACGGGGAGCAGCCCAGAGCCUGAAUCAGUGUGUGUGUUAGUGGAAGCGUCUGGAAAGGCGCGCGAUACAGGGUGACAGCCCCGUACACAAAAAUGCACAUACUGUGAGCUCGAUGAGUAGGGCGGGACACGUGGUAUCCUGUCUGAAUAUGGGGGGACCAUCCUCCAAGGCUAAAUACUCCUGACUGACCGAUAGUGAACCAGUACCGUGAGGGAAAGGCGAAAAGAACCCCGGCGAGGGGAGUGAAAAAGAACCUGAAACCGUGUACGUACAAGCAGUGGGAGCACGCUUAGGCGUGUGACUGCGUACCUUUUGUAUAAUGGGUCAGCGACUUAUAUUCUGUAGCAAGGUUAACCGAAUAGGGGAGCCGAAGGGAAACCGAGUCUUAACUGGGCGUUAAGUUGCAGGGUAUAGACCCGAAACCCGGUGAUCUAGCCAUGGGCAGGUUGAAGGUUGGGUAACACUAACUGGAGGACCGAACCGACUAAUGUUGAAAAAUUAGCGGAUGACUUGUGGCUGGGGGUGAAAGGCCAAUCAAACCGGGAGAUAGCUGGUUCUCCCCGAAAGCUAUUUAGGUAGCGCCUCGUGAAUUCAUCUCCGGGGGUAGAGCACUGUUUCGGCAAGGGGGUCAUCCCGACUUACCAACCCGAUGCAAACUGCGAAUACCGGAGAAUGUUAUCACGGGAGACACACGGCGGGUGCUAACGUCCGUCGUGAAGAGGGAAACAACCCAGACCGCCAGCUAAGGUCCCAAAGUCAUGGUUAAGUGGGAAACGAUGUGGGAAGGCCCAGACAGCCAGGAUGUUGGCUUAGAAGCAGCCAUCAUUUAAAGAAAGCGUAAUAGCUCACUGGUCGAGUCGGCCUGCGCGGAAGAUGUAACGGGGCUAAACCAUGCACCGAAGCUGCGGCAGCGACGCUGAUGCGUUGUUGGGUAGGGGAGCGUUCUGUAAGCCUGCGAAGGUGUGCUGUGAGGCAUGCUGGAGGUAUCAGAAGUGCGAAUGCUGACAUAAGUAACGAUAAAGCGGGUGAAAAUCCCGCUCGCCGGAAGACCAAGGGUUCCUGUCCAACGUUAAUCGGGGCAGGGUGAGUCGACCCCUAAGGCGAGGCCGAAAGGCGUAGUCGAUGGGAAACAGGUUAAUAUUCCUGUACUUGGUGUUACUGCGAAGGGGGGACGGAGAAGGCUAUGUUGGCCGGGCGACGGUUGUCCCGGUUUAAGCGUGUAGGCUGGUUUUCCAGGCAAAUCCGGAAAAUCAAGGCUGAGGCGUGAUGACGAGGCACUACGGUGCUGAAGCAACAAAUGCCCUGCUUCCAGGAAAAGCCUCUAAGCAUCAGGUAACAUCAAAUCGUACCCCAAACCGACACAGGUGGUCAGGUAGAGAAUACCAAGGCGCUUGAGAGAACUCGGGUGAAGGAACUAGGCAAAAUGGUGCCGUAACUUCGGGAGAAGGCACGCUGAUAUGUAGGUGAAGUCCCUCGCGGAUGGAGCUGAAAUCAGUCGAAGAUACCAGCUGGCUGCAACUGUUUAUUAAAAACACAGCACUGUGCAAACACGAAAGUGGACGUAUACGGUGUGACGCCUGCCCGGUGCCGGAAGGUUAAUUGAUGGGGUCAGCGCAAGCGAAGCUCUUGAUCGAAGCCCCGGUAAACGGCGGCCGUAACUAUAACGGUCCUAAGGUAGCGAAAUUCCUUGUCGGGUAAGUUCCGACCUGCACGAAUGGCGUAAUGAUGGCCAGGCUGUCUCCACCCGAGACUCAGUGAAAUUGAACUCGCUGUGAAGAUGCAGUGUACCCGCGGCAAGACGGAAAGACCCCGUGAACCUUUACUAUAGCUUGACACUGAACAUUGAGCCUUGAUGUGUAGGAUAGGUGGGAGGCUUUGAAGUGUGGACGCCAGUCUGCAUGGAGCCGACCUUGAAAUACCACCCUUUAAUGUUUGAUGUUCUAACGUUGACCCGUGAUCCGGGUUGCGGACAGUGUCUGGUGGGUAGUUUGACUGGGGCGGUCUCCUCCUAAAGAGUAACGGAGGAGCACGAAGGUUGGCUAAUCCUGGUCGGACAUCAGGAGGUUAGUGCAAUGGCAUAAGCCAGCUUGACUGCGAGCGUGACGGCGCGAGCAGGUGCGAAAGCAGGUCAUAGUGAUCCGGUGGUUCUGAAUGGAAGGGCCAUCGCUCAACGGAUAAAAGGUACUCCGGGGAUAACAGGCUGAUACCGCCCAAGAGUUCAUAUCGACGGCGGUGUUUGGCACCUCGAUGUCGGCUCAUCACAUCCUGGGGCUGAAGUAGGUCCCAAGGGUAUGGCUGUUCGCCAUUUAAAGUGGUACGCGAGCUGGGUUUAGAACGUCGUGAGACAGUUCGGUCCCUAUCUGCCGUGGGCGCUGGAGAACUGAGGGGGGCUGCUCCUAGUACGAGAGGACCGGAGUGGACGCAUCACUGGUGUUCGGGUUGUCAUGCCAAUGGCACUGCCCGGUAGCUAAAUGCGGAAGAGAUAAGUGCUGAAAGCAUCUAAGCACGAAACUUGCCCCGAGAUGAGUUCUCCCUGACUCCUUGAGAGUCCUGAAGGAACGUUGAAGACGACGACGUUGAUAGGCCGGGUGUGUAAGCGCAGCGAUGCGUUGAGCUAACCGGUACUAAUGAACCGUGAGGCUUAACCUUACAACGCCGAAGCUGUU